UAACAACACUAUAGGUAGGUGUUAUAACAGGUGGGAUAUCUAACAACACUAUAGGUAGGUGUUAUAACAGGUGGGAUAUCUAACAACACUAUAGGUAGGUGUUAUAACAGGUGGGAUAUCUAACAACACUAUAGGUAGGUGUUAUAACAUGUGGGAUAUCUAACAGCACUAUAGGUAGGUGUUAUAACAGGUGGGAUAUCUAACAACACUACAGGUAGGUGUUAUAACAGGUGGGAUAUCUAACAACACUAUAGGUAGGUGUUAUAACAGGUGGGAUAUCUAACAACACUAUAGGUAGGUGUUAUAACAGGUGGGAUAUCUAACAACACUAUAGGUAGGUGUUAUAACAGGUGGGAUAUCUAACAACACUAUAGGUAGGUGUUAUAACAGGUGGGAUAUCUAACAACACUAUAGGUAGGUGUUAUAACAGGUGGGAUAUCUAACAACACUAUAGGUAGGUGUUAUAACAGGUGGGAUAUCUAACAACACUAUAGGUAGGUGAAAGCAGUGGUCCUAGUAAAUAAUGAAAGUUACCAGCAUAGCACACCCACUGACGAUACAUUAGAAUUAGCUUAUUAUCAUUACUGAAAUGAAGGUUCUCAUUACCGAAACGGGCCUAAAAAUGAUGCGGUAAUGAGAAAUGUGUGUUUUGGUAAUGAGAGGCCCUUAGCUUCAUCUGGAAGUAAUAGGAGACAGACAUUAUGAGUUAGCAAACUGUUGACCACAUCACUAA